AUGCUUCAGGGGAAGACUGUUGGAAUUCUGAGAGUGGGAGAAAUCACUUGUCAGGGUUCUUGGCUUUUUUUCCCCAGCGUGGCCCCCAAACACCAGUCUUCUCUUCCACCCCAAGCGAAGAACCUGAAGAAAGCCAGGCCUACUCCUGCCUCCAGGCCAGACGAGGCAUCUGCUUCUUCAAAUUUGCCGAAGGAAGAAAAAGAACAGCAAGAAGCAAUUGAAUAUAUUGAUGAAGUACAGAAUGAAAUAGACAGACUUAAUGAACAAGCCAGUGAGGAGAUUUUGAAAGUAGAACAGAAAUAUAACAAACUCUGCCAACCAUUUUUUCAGAAGAGGUCAGAAUUGAUCGCCAAAAUCCUCAAUUUUUGGGUAACAUUUGUUAACCAUCUACAAGUGUCUGCACUGCUUGGGGAGGAGGAUGAAGAGGCGCUGCAUUAUUUGACAAGAGUUGAAGAGACAGAAUUUGAAGACAUUAAAUCAGGUUACAGAAUAGAUUUUUAUUUUGAUGAAAACCCUUACUUCGAAAAUAAAAUUCUCUCCAAAGAAUUUCAUCUGAAUGAGAGUGGUGACCCAUCUUCAAAGUCCACUGAAAUCAAAUGGAAAUCUGGAAAGGAUUUGAUGAAAUGAUCAAGUCAAACACAGAAUAAAGCCAGCAGGAAGAGACAGCAUGAGGAACCAGAAAGUUUCUUCACCUGGUUUACUGAUCAUUCUGAUGCAGGUGCAGAUGAAUUAGGAGAGGUCAUCAAAGAUGAUAUUUGGCCAAAUCCGUUACAGUACUACUUGGUUCCUGACAUGGAUGACGAGAAAGGGGAAGGAGAAGAGGAUGACGACGAUGAUGAAGAAGAGGAAGGAUUGGAAGAUAUUGAUGAAGAAGGGGAUGAGGAUGAAGGUGAAGAAGAUUAAGAUGAUGAUGAGGGGGAGGAAGGAGAAGAAGAUGAAGGAGAAGAUGACUAAUGGAACACUGAUGGAUUCCAACCUUUUUAAAUUUUCUCCAGUCCCUGGGAGCAAGUUGCAGUCUUCUUUUUUUUUUCCUCCUCUUGUGCUCAGUCGCCCUGUUUUUGAGGUCUCUUUUCUCCUUUAUACCAUGGUUCACAACUUAUUUGGGGAGGGGGGAAAUAUCUUGAGCAGAAUUCAGUGGAAAAAGAAUCUCUACCCCUUUCUGUUUCAAAUUCAUUUUUAUCCCUUCCUGUCUCAACAAAAACUAUGGAAUCAACACCACCAUGCUCUGUGGGAAAAAAAGAAAAACCUUCUGCUCCCUUAGCUCUGCUGGAAGCUGGAGGGUGCUAGGCCCCUGUGUAGUAGUGCAUAGAAUUCUAGCUUUUUUCCUCCUUUCUCUGUAUAUUGGGCUCAGAGAUUACACUGUGUCUCUAUGUGAAUAUGGACAGUUAGCAUUUACCAACAUGUAUCUGUCUACUUUCUCUUGUUUAAAAAAAGAAAAAAAAAACUUUAAAAAAUGGGGUUAUAGAAGGUCAGCAAAGGGUGGGUUUGAGAUGUUGGGUGGGUUAAGUGGACAUUUUGACAACAUGGCUUCUCCUUUGGCAUGUUUAAUUGUGAUGUUUAACGGACAUCCUUGCAGUUUAAGAUGACACUUUUAAAAUAAAAUUCUCUCCUAAUGAUGACUUGAGCCCUACCACUCGAUGGGAGAAUCAGCAGAACCUGUAGGAUCUUAUUUGCAAUUGACAUUCUCUAUUGUAAUUUUGUUCCUGUUUAUUUUUAAAUUUUUCUUUUUGUUUCACUGGAAAGGAAAGAUGAUGCUCAGUUUUAAACGUUAAAAGUGUACAAGUUGCUUUGUUACAAUAAAACUAAAUGUGUACACAAA